rnacentral:rRNA from 1 species
UCGAACGGCAGCAUGACCUAGCUUGCUAGGUUGAUGGCGAGUGGCGAACGGGUGAGUAAUGCAUCGGAACGUAUCCAAUAAUGGGGGAUAACGCAUCGAAAGGUGUGCUAAUACCGCAUACGCCCUGAGGGGGAAAGUGGGGGAUCUUCGGACCUCUCGCUUUCGGAGUGGCCGAUAUCGGAUUAGCUAGUUGGUGAGGUAAAGGCUCACCAAGGCGACGAUCCGUAGCUGGUCUGAGAGGACGACCAGCCACACUGGGACUGAGACACGGCCCAGACUCCUACGGGAGGCAGCAGUGGGGAAUUUUGGACAAUGGGGGCAACCCUGAUCCAGCCAUGCCGCGUGAGUGAAGAAGGCCUUCGGGUUGUAAAGCUCUUUCAGACGGAAAGAAACGGUCACGGCCAAUACCCGUGACUAAUGACGGUACCGUAAGAAGAAGCACCGGCUAACUACGUGCCAGCAGCCGCGGUAAUACGUAGGGUGCGAGCGUUAAUCGGAAUUACUGGGCGUAAAGCGUGCGCAGGCGGUUUCGUAAGACAGAUGUGAAAUCCCCGGGCUUAACCUGGGAACUGCAUUUGUGACUGCGAGACUAGAGCGUAGCAGAGGGGGGUAGAAUUCCACGUGUAGCAGUGAAAUGCGUAGAGAUGUGGAGGAAUACCGAUGGCGAAGGCAGCCCCCUGGGCUAACACUGACGCUCAUGCACGAAAGCGUGGGGAGCAAACAG